AUUUCCGUCAAAUACGCUUACAAAUGGUUGGAAACUUCUAGAUUUUUCCUUUAUAUUACAUGACUGACAAACGACAAGACGACAACAAAGGUUUAUAUAGUAUCUCUAUAUUUGUUUAAUUAAUUUAUAUUUACUGCUAGAAAAAUGCACAACACAACUUAACUGUUAUUAUACUGAAAUAGCUAGAGUUUUCAUAUUAAUAUAAAGUGCUUAUUAUGUGCAAAAAAUGACCCAAAAUGCGAAUUACCAGAAAAAGGAACGAACAACAUGGACGGUCAAUCCUUUGUGUCUUUCCAAUCGUGUUCCUUAUUGAAAUAUAUUGGCUAUUGAAAUAUUAGCAUUUAGCUUCGGAAAAGUGAUACUGCAAUGUUCUUACAAGUGAGUGAAUAGGGCCCUUUGUGCAAGUGAGGUAAAUUCAUGCCUAUACUGGAAUGGUUGAGGAGGCGGCUCUACCUUGCAGAAAGCUGUGACAUGUUUUGUUGGCUACUCUGGGGAUGUUACUUGUGCAAGAAUGUUGACGACAGUCCUGAUGAUGAGGUGAUUGUCGAAAGCGAGAGCCUUAAAAUAUAUUCAAAGGUAUUUAAAAUAAUUUUAUCUAGUGUAAACACACCCCCGAGCUUGGAAUACUUUCCGAUUAUACGAAAAGAAUGUUUCUUUCUUUCCAUUUGAACCGAAGCAGCUUUCGGUAAGUCUGAUAUUACUUUGCCCCUGGUUGCCGUGUAGAACACUUUUAGUAUAAUAUUGUUGGCUUGUGUUUUAUUACAUUGAUGCAUGCAAUAUUUAUUCGACGAGAGGCAACGAGGAAC